rnacentral:rRNA from 1 species
AGAGUUCGAUUCUGGCUCAGAACGAACGCUGGCGGCGUGGAUAAGACAUGCAAGUCGAACGGAGUGGCUUCGGUCACUCAGUGGCGCACGGGUGAGUAACACGUGAGCAACCUGCCUCCGAGACGGGAAUAGCCCCGGGAAACUGGGAUUAAUGCCCGAUGGUCUCGCAAGAGUAAAUGCAGCAAUGCGCUUGGAGAGGGGCUCGCGGCCUAUUAGUUAGUUGGCGGGGUAACGGCCCACCAAGGCGAUGACGGGUAGCCGGUCUGAGAGGAUGUCCGGCCACACUGGAACUGAGACACGGUCCAG